rfam:Entamoeba invadens IP1 unplaced genomic scaffold scaff_1105074724819, whole genome shotgun sequence.
UCCACGAGGGUUAACAUCGGAGCGAAUAGGAAGGGAAGAAAACCCAGAUAUGAAGCGAAAAAGAAGGACCAAACAUAUAGCAGGAGUGACCUAGAAAAGGCUAGAGUUAAACUGUUGGGACCCGAAAGAUGGUGAACUAUGCUUGUAGUGUUUGAAGCCGAAGGAAACUUUGGUGGAAGGACUUAGGAGUGUUAACGUGCAAAUUACUUGCAAUAUAUGAGUAUAGGGGCGAAAGACUAAUCGAACUAUCUAGUAGCUGGUUCCACCUGAAUAUUCCCUUAGGAAGGUUGAAGUGAGAAAGUAGUGAUGAUUGGUAAAGAUAAUGAUUGGAUGUAAUGGAGAGCUUGACUUUUCAACAUUUUAACAAACUAUGAAUAGUCGAGAUAUUCUAAACGAUAAACAUUUAUUAGGAGUGAGCAUAUGCGGACUUCAAAUCGGCCAAGUCUGGUAAGCAGGACUGGCGAUGCGGGAUGAACCGAACAUACGGAUAAAGUAUCCAAGUCUUGCAUGAGGAGAACCAUAAAAGGUGUUCAUUCAUAUUGACAAUAGGACGAUGGCCAUGGAAGUUGGAAAUCGCUAAGGAGUGUGUAACAACUCACCUAUCGAAUGGAUGAGCCCUGAAAAUGGAAGGUAUUAUAAUGAGAGAGAGUGAUACUGUAUCCUUGUGGAGGCUGAGGCACACGAGGAGUAAGGAAAUGCAUGGUGUCAAGAAUUCAGAAAGUUAUAAAGGUAAAGAAGUAACUUCUAUUGGAACAGACUUAAGUACAGAUCUUGGUGGAAGUAGCAGAUACUUAGAAGAGGAAAAAAUAUCAAAGGACUGAAGAGGAGAAAAAUUCCUAGACAACAUUAAUUGGAAUAUGGUGAAUCAAUCCUAAAAGACGGAUGUAGAUUUAGUAGAAGAAACUGAGCUUGAAAAAGCGUUUACGCAUGAAAGGGAAAAAGACUAAAAGUUCUUUAUCAAUAGUCAAAAAGUCACGAAAAAAGGACUGAGAAAGUGGUAACAGGGGAUGAACUUUGGUAUGGGGUAUGACGGUAGCGACAAGAGAUCUCUUUUCUUGUUAACACGGAGGAACGGGCAUUGAAAUGAAUCAAGCAGAGGUAUGACUGUUAUACCCAUGGAAGAAACAGGGGGUAGUUUUGUUAUUGUACUGUGAAACUCAAAGACGGUCAAAAUCAAUUAUAUUCGCAAAAGAAAGUACUUAAAUUAUCGAAAGGAAAGAGUAUUGUAUUGAUUCAAUUUUUAUUGUCUUCGUUUUAAGUC